GCUGGGAUAGCUCAGUCUGGAGAGCGAGAGACUCUUUAUUUCAGGGUCGUGGGUUCGAGCACCACACUGGGCA